CCUACGGGAGGCAGCAGUGGGGAAUAUUGCACAAUGGGGGAAACCCUGAUGCAGCAACGCCGCGUGAGUGAUGACGGCCUUCGGGUUGUAAAGCUCUGUCUUCAGGGACGAGAAUGACGGUACCUGAGGAGGAAGCCACGGCGAACGACGUGCCAGCAGCCGCGGUAAUACGGAGGUGGCGAGCGUUGUCCGGAUUUACUGGGCGUAAAGGGAGCGUAGGCGGACUUUUAAGGGAGAUGUGAAAUACUCGGGCUCAACUUGAGUGCUGCAUUUCAAACUGUAAGUCUAGAGUGCAGGAGAGUAGAAUGGCAUUCCUCGUGUAGCGGUGAACUGCUUCGAGAUUAGGAAGAACACCAGUGGCGAAGGCGCUUCUCUGGACUGUACCUGACGCUGCGGCUCGCUAGCGUGGGGAGCAAACAGGAUUAGAUACCCCAGUAGUC
rnacentral:rRNA from 1 species